CCUACGGGAGGCAGCAGUGGGGAAUAUUGCACAAUGGGGGAAACCCUGAUGCAGCGACGCCGCGUGAGUGAAGAAGUAUUUCGGUAUGUAAAGCUCUAUCAGCAGGGGAGAAAAUGACGGUACCUGACUUAGAAGCCCCGGCUAACUACGUGCCAGCAGCCGCGGUAAUACGUAGGGGGCAAGCGUUAUCCGGAUUUACUGGGUGUAAAGGGGGCGUAGACGGCAGCGCAAGUCUGAAGUGAAAUUCCAUGGCUUAACCAUGGAACUGCUUUGGAAACUGUGCAGCUGGAGUGCAGGAGAGGUAAGCGGAAUUCCUAGUGUAGCGGUGAAAUGCGUAGAUAUUAGGAGGAACACCAGUGGCGAAGGCGGCUUACUGGACUGUAACUGACGUUGAGGCUCGAAGGCGUGGGGAGCAAACAGGAUUAGAUACCCGGGUAGUC
rnacentral:rRNA from 1 species